rnacentral:rRNA from 1 species
AACGAACGCUGGCGGCAUGCCUAACACAUGCAAGUCGAACGAACCCUUCGGGGUUAGUGGCGCACGGGUGCGUAACGCGUGGGAAUCUGCCCUUUGCUUCGGAAUAACUCAGGGAAACUUGUGCUAAUACCGGAUGAUGUCUUCGGACCAAAGAUUUAUCGGCAAGGGAUGAGCCCGCGUAGGAUUAGGUAGUUGGUGGGGUAAAGGCUUACCAAGCCGACGAUCCUUAGCUGGUCUGAGAGGAUGAUCAGCCACACUGGGACUGAGACACGGCCCAGACUCCUACGGGAGGCAGCAGUGGGGAAUAUUGGACAAUGGGCGCAAGCCUGAUCCAGCAAUGCCGCGUGAGUGAUGAAGGCCCUCGGGUCGUAAAGCUCUUUUACCAGGGAUGAUAAUGACAGUACCUGGAGAAUAAGCGCCGGCUAACUCCGUG